rnacentral:rRNA from 1 species
GUGGGGAAUCUUCCGCAAUGGACGAAAGUCUGACGGAGCAACGCCGCGUGAGUGAAGAAGGUUUUCGGAUCGUAAAGCUCUUUCGUUAGGGACGAACGUGCUCUUUGUGAAUAAUGAGGAGUAAUGACGGUACCUAAAUAAGAAGCCACGGCUAACUACGUGCCAGCAGCCGCGGUAAUACGUAGGUGGCAAGCGUUGUCCGGAAUGAUUGGGCGUAAAGCGCGCGCAGGCGGGAUAUCAAGUCUGUCUUAAAAGUGCGAGGCUAAACCUCGUGAGGGGACAGAAACUGGUAUUCUUGAGUGUCGGAGAGGAAAGUGGAAUUCCAAGUGUAGCGGUGAAAUGCGUAGAGAUUUGGAAGAACACCAGUGGCGAAGGCGACUUUCUGGACGAUGUCUGACGCUGAGGCGCGAAAGCUAGGGGAGCGAACGGGAUUAGAUACCCUUGUAGUCC